UACGUAGGGUGCAAGCGUUAUCCGGAAUGAUUGGGCGUAAAGCGUCCGCAGAUGGCGAUGUAAGUCUGCUGUUAAAGAGUGAGGCUCAACCUCAUAAGAGCAGUGGAAACUACAUAGCUAGAGUACGUUCGGGGCAGAGGGAAUUCCUGGUGUAGCGGUGAAAUGCGUAGAGAUCAGGAAGAACACCAGUGGCGAAGGCGCUCUGCUAGGCCGUAACUGACACUGAGGGACGAAAGCUAGGGGAGCGAAUGGG
rnacentral:rRNA from 1 species